GUCGCUCUCUGGAGAGAAGCUAAGGGUGAUCAGGAAAUCCUCUUUGAAGAGGAGUCACUUGAACAAAGAUCUCAAUGAAGUGAAAAGGCCAACCAUGAGGAAGUCUAUGGAAGAACGUUCCAGACAAAGGAAACAGGUUCCAGGGGAAUAAUUCAUGAAGCAAAUUA